AAAGAAAUCAACCGAGAUUUCGUUAGUAGCGGCGAGCGAACGCGAAGGAGCCUGUUAGUGAUAAUGACAGAGACAGAGGAACAAGCUGGGAAGCUUGGCGAUACAGGGUGAUAGCCCCGUACUCGAAGUCCAGGUCAUGGUACUAAGCUAACGAUAAGUAGGGCGGGACACGUGAUAUCCUGUUUGAAGAUGGGGGGACCAUCCUCCAAGGCUAAAUACUCCUGAUUGACCGAUAGUGAACCAGUACUGUGAAGGAAAGGCGAAAAGAACCCCGGUGAGGGGAGUGAAAUAGAACCUGAAACCUUGUACGUACAAGCAGUGGGAGCCCUUUUUGGGUGACUGCGUACCUUUUGUAUAAUGGGUCAGCGACUUAUAUUUUGUAGCGAGGUUAACCGAAUAGGGGAGCCGAAGGGAAACCGAGUCUUAACUGGGCGUUUAGUUGCAAGGUAUAGACCCGAAACCCGGUGAUCUAGCCAUGGGCAGGUUGAAGGUUGGGUAACACUAACUGGAGGACCGAACCGACUAAUGUUGAAAAAUUAGCGGAUGACUUGUGGCUGGGGGUGAAAGGCCAAUCAAACCGGGAGAUAGCUGGUUCUCCCCGAAAUCUAUUUAGGUAGAGCCUUGAGCGGACACCUUCGGGGGUAGAGCACUGUUUCGGCUAGGGGUCCAUCCCGGAUUACCAACCCGAUGCAAACUACGAAUACCGAAGAGUGAUACUCAGGAGACACACGGCGGGUGCUAACGUCCGUCGUGGAGAGGGAAACAACCCAGACCGCCAGCUAAGGUCCCAAAGUCUAUAUUAAGUGGGAAACGAAGUGGGAAGGCUUAGACAGCUAGGAUGUUGGCUUAGAAGCAGCCAUCAUUUAAAGAAAGCGUAAUAGCUCACUAGUCGAGUCGGCCUGCGCGGAAGAUGUAACGGGGCUCAAAUAUAGCACCGAAGCUGCGGCAUCAGACGAAAGUCUGUUGGGUAGGGGAGCGUUCUGUAAGCGGAUGAAGGUGAAUCGAGAGGUUUGCUGGACGUAUCAGAAGUGCGAAUGCUGACAUAAGUAACGAUAAAACGGGUGAAAAACCCGUUCGCCGGAAGACCAAGGGUUCCUGUCCAACGUUAAUCGGGGCAGGGUGAGUCGGCCCCUAAGGCGAGGCUGAAAAGCGUAGUCGAUGGGAAACGGGUUAAUAUUCCCGUACUUGGAUAAACUGCGAUGUGGGGACGGAGCAGGUUAGGUUAUCGCACUGUUGGAUAUGUGCGUUUAAGUUUGUAGGUGGGAAGUUUAGGCAAAUCCGGACUUCUAUUCAACACUGAGAGAUGAUGACGAGGCUCUACGGAGCUGAAGUAACCGAUACCACACUUCCAGGAAAAGCCACUAAGCUUCAGGUUUAUCUAAACCGUACUGAAAACCGACACAGGUGGUCAGGUAGAGAAUACUCAGGCGCUUGAGAGAACUCGGGUGAAGGAACUAGGCAAAAUAGCACCGUAACUUCGGGAGAAGGUGCGCCGGCGUAGAUUGUAGUCCCUUGCGGAUGAAGGUUGAACCGGUCGAAGAUACCAGCUGGCUGCAACUGUUUAUUAAAAACACAGCACUCUGCAAACACGAAAGUGGACGUAUAGGGUGUGAUGCCUGCCCGGUGCUGGAAGGUUAAUUGAUGGUGUAAUCGAAAGAGAAGCUCCUGAUCGAAGCCCCAGUAAACGGCGGCCGUAACUAUAACGGUCCUAAGGUAGCGAAAUUCCUUGUCGGGUAAGUUCCGACCUGCACGAAUGGCAUAAUGAUGGCCAGGCUGUCUCCACCCGAGACUCAGUGAAAUUGAAAUCGCCGUGAAGAUGCGGUGUACCCGCGGCUAGACGGAAAGACCCCGUGAACCUUUACUAUAGCUUGACACUGAACAUUGAAUUUUGAUGUGUAGGAUAGGUGGGAGACUUUGAAGAUGAUACGCCAGUAUUGUUGGAGUCGUCCUUGAAAUACCACCCUUUAACGUUUGAUGUUCUAACGAAGAUUGCGAAACGUGGUCUCGGACAGUGUCUGGUGGGUAGUUUGACUGGGGCGGUCUCCUCCCAAAGAGUAACGGAGGAGCACGAAGGUUUGCUAAUGACGGUCGGACAUCGUCAGGUUAGUGCAAUGGUAUAAGCAAGCUUAACUGCGAGACAGACAAGUCGAGCAGGUACGAAAGUAGGUCAUAGUGAUCCGGUGGUUCUGAAUGGAAGGGCCAUCGCUCAACGGAUAAAA
rnacentral:rRNA from 1 species